rnacentral:rRNA from 1 species
GACGGGGGGGGCAAGUGUUCUUCGGAAUGACUGGGCGUAAAGGGCACGUAGGCGGUGAAUCGGGUUGAAAGUGAAAGUCGCCAAAAAGUGGCGGAAUGCUCUCGAAACCAAUUCACUUGAGUGAGACAGAGGAGAGUGGAAUUUCGUGUGUAGGGGUGAAAUGCGUAGAGAUCGGGAGGAACACCAGUGGCGAAGGCGGCUACCUGGACAGUUCCUGACGCUGAGGCGCGAAGGCCAGGGGAGCAAACGGG